CCCGAAUUCCAGGCGGCGCUCGUGGAAAGUCCCGACGGGAGCUACGCGUGGGGCUCUUCCCGGUGGAUUACGACGCGUCCACGAGCUACUGCGCGGCGUUUUCCAUGGAGAGCCUGCCGUCGCCGCGGUUCCUCUCCUCCAUCCGGCAGGGAACGAGCGGGUGGCCUACCAGGCCGCGCGAACACGCUCGAACUUGGUGGAUCCUUUAGAAGUCUAUGCCAUACACUGCCACGGUGCUGUUGUGGUCGGCGAGAAGUGGCGGCGGCAUGACUCAUGAG